GCCCUCGCUUCGGUAGCACAUAUACUAAAAUUGGAACAACACGGAGAAGAUUAGCAUGGCCUCUGCACAAGGCUGACAUGCAAAUUUGUGGUAUUCCAUACUUUUUU